rnacentral:lncRNA from 1 species
CACGAAUAUCCACACUACUGCGCAGCUUCAACUGUCCUGCUAAGUAUCCCAGCUGGCAGGGAACUUGGGGGAUGCGUUUGGGGUUUCGGUUUUCCAGCGGAAAACACAUUCCCACUGUGACCCGGAUGAAUGACGUCACCCACAGAUACCAGGUCCUUGCGUGGUAACAAGGCCCCAGCUCGGGGUAGGCAUCGAGGAGGUGAGGAGAGAGAGAGGAGGAGAGGCCACAGACAGGUCAUCCCUUCUUCCCUCCGUGGCUGGGAGGAAGACACUCCCUUAUCCUCACGGCUCCACUAGGACGGCACUGGUGUUUUAAAAUAGCUGCCCAGCUGGGGGUGGUGGCCCAUCACUAUGAUCCCAGCCCUCCAGAGGCUGAAGCAGGAGGAACGCCACAAGUUCAGAAACAAAAUGGAACAACAAAAUAGUGAUAGUGUAGAGAACUCAAGAGGGGAAUUCAGAGUGGAUUCCAGUUCCAGACUUCUUGGAAGGGCAUUAUUGCAACAGCAGCACAGCAGCAAGAUGAGAGAGCUUGGACAAGAGUUUUGUAGCAGGCUCAGAAAUAUAUACAUGAAAUUGUGAAUGAUUUGGAGGUAAAAUUGAUACAUAUUUGCUGAGGAGUUGUGUAUACAUCAAAGAUACCCCCAGGUUUCUGCCUGCACAACAUCAGUGAUGGGUAAUAUAAGAAAUAUCAGAUUUGGAACAAAAAAAUUUGGUUUUGCAGUUGAACCUGUGAUUCCUUUGAGACAUCCAAGUAAGCUUACUCAGGAGUGGCUGGAUCUAGAAUGUGGAGUUAAACUUAGGUCUUGUCUGGAAACAUCAAAUCUGAAGUGAUCAGCAUACCCAUGGGAGAUUUUUGGAAACUGAAGCCCUGAGAGCAGAUGACUGUGUAUAAGAAGAAAGGGGCUUCUAAAGAGGAGAGAAAAGCCAAGACUGAACUCAACAACAAACACUAGGAUUUGAAGAAAGGCAGAAGUGGAAAGAAAAACAUGCCAAGUCAAUACAGGAUAAAAAG